GCGACAGAAGAGAGUGAGCACACAUGGCUCCCUUUUUCUAGCACGCUCAUGCUCGAAAGCUCUGCGUGCUCACCCUCUUCUUGUCUC
rnacentral:pre_miRNA from 1 species